rnacentral:tRNA from 1 species
GGGCCCGUAGUCUAGCGGUAUGACGCCCGGCUCACUACCGGGAGGUCCGGGGUUCGAAUCCCCGCGGGCCCA